UACGAGGGGGGCUAGUGUUGUUCGGAAUCACUGGGCGUAAAGGGCGCGUAGGCGGGUGCCUAAGUUGGGUGUUUAAUUCCGGGGCCCAACCCCGGGCGUGCAUUCAAAACUGGGUUUCUUGAAUAGGGGAGAGGUCGGUGGAAUUGGAGGUGUAGCGGUGGAAUGCGUAGAGAUCUCCAAGAACACCCGUUGCGAAGGCGGCCGACUGGACCCAUAUUGACGCUGAGGCUCGAAAGCAUGGGGAGCAAACAGG
rnacentral:rRNA from 1 species